rnacentral:rRNA from 1 species
AAAGGAAUUGACGGGGACUCGCACAAGCAGAGGAGCGCGUGGUUUAAUUCGACGGCAAUCGAAGAACCUUACCAGGGUUUGAAAUGUAUCUGCAUGCCUUAUGAAAGUUUGGCAGCCUUCGAGGGUGAUACACAGGUGCUGCAUGGCCGUCGUCAGCUCGUGUCGUGAGAUGUAGGGUUAAGUCCCGAAACGAGCGCAACCCCUAUUCUAUGUUACAAGUGUCUUAGAAAACCGCCUCGGUAAAACGAGGAGGAAGGUGGGGAUGACGUCUGGUCCGCAUAGCCCUUAUGUCCUGGGCUACACACGCGCUACAAUGGUCGAUACAAUGGGAAGCCAAGCCGUAAGGCGGAGCUGAUCCUCAAAAUCGAUCUCAGUUCGGAUUGUGGUCUGAAACUCGACCACAUGAAGGUGGAUUUGCUAGUAAUCGUGAAUCAGCCAUGUCACGGUGAAUACGUUCUCGAGUCUUGCACACACCGCCCGU